CGAGACUGAUGGCAUAGAAACUCGGGCAACAACUGAAGCUGCAAUUUUCAGUGCAAGAUUAGUAAGUAAAAAUCAGAUAAAACUUCAAUGUUAAAUUCGUGUGUGUGUGUGUGUUUGUGUGUGUGUGUUUAUGCAGGUAUUGAAUCCAAGGACUUGU
rnacentral:sRNA from 1 species